rnacentral:rRNA from 1 species
CCGUGAAUUUAAGCAUAUCAAUAAGCGGUGGAAAAGAAACUAACCAGGAUUCCCCUAGUAACGGCGAGUGAACAGGGAGAAGCCCAGCACCGAAGUCUGCGUCCAUUUGGGCGUUGGACAAUGUGGUGUUUAGGUUGUUGCCUUCGGGUAUUGCUCUGUUUAAAGUCCAUUCUUGAAUAUGGCUUAUAGUUUGGCCCAGAGAGGGUGAAAGGCCCGUGUGGAUGGAGCGAUGCUUGACUGCGUCAACUAUGGAGUCGGGUUGUUUGUGAAUGCAGCCCAAAGUUGGUGGUAAACUCCAUCUAAGGCUAAAUACUGGCACGAGUCCGAUAGCGAACAAGUACCGUGAGGGA